AGCUCUGAUGUGCUUUAGUCUAACCAGUUCUUCCCUUUUUAUUAGGUUUCCCCUGGAUUUACAGUGGAGCUACAAACCCCAGGAGCCAGCAUGCUUUCUGCUCUGGAAGUACCCAGGAACUACCAGAAACCCCAGUGAAGAAGGAUAUUGCCCUGAACUCACUCUGUGUGUGCCACCCAAGGAGGAUUGUAAUAACACACAGAGGGAACAACCACAACAAUGAGAAUC